ACCCUAUCUGGAUUUAGGGUCUCUGCGAUCCGUCUAGGGUUCUUAUCGAUCAACCCUAUACUUCAAUUUUACCGAUAGAUUCUAUAUUAUUGUUCUACCCUAUACAUAGUUUGAUUUGUCAAAUCAAUUAGGUUUCCUUUCACAAGAUGAUGCAACCAGGAAACGGCAUGGCACCAGUACCAAUGGCUCCGAUGCAGCCGCCACCACAACAACAGCAGUACCAACAAGCACCACCGCAACAGCAGUGGAUGAUGCCUCCACCGGCUCAACAACAGCACCAACAACCGCUGCCGCCCCAUAUGUGGGCCCAGCAACAGGCACCGCCUCAGCAGCAGCAACAAGCACAACAUAUGAUGCAAGCAAAUCAGCAGUCGCAGCAGUAUUCUUCUGCUCCGGCGAGUUCCGAUGAGAUUCGGUCUCUUUGGAUCGGAGACUUGCAGUAUUGGAUGGAUGAAACAUAUGUUACUAAUUGCUUCUACAACACCGGAGAGGUACUGCUGAUCCUUUUCCCCAAUGAGCUCUUUACGUAUGUAUUGAAAAGUUGGAAUUGCGAUUUAUAUUGUUUCUAAUUCUAUGUUCAGGUUCUCACGGUGAAGAUUAUUCGCAACAAACAAACUGGACAACCUGAAGGCUAUGGUUUUAUUGAGUUCAGGAGUCGUGCUGGUGCAGAAAAUGCUUUACAGACCUACAAUGGGACACUGAUGCCAUCUACUGAGCAGAAUUUUCGCCUUAACUGGGCAACCCUUGGUGCUGGUGAGAGACGCAAUGAUGACACUCCUGACUACACAAUCUUUGUUGGUGAUCUUGCUGCUGAUGUUUCGGAUUACAUAUUGCAAGAAACGUUCAAAACUGUUUACCCGUCAGUCAAGGGAGCGAAAGUUGUCACUGAUAGAACUACUGGACGUUCUAAAGGAU
rnacentral:lncRNA from 1 species